rnacentral:rRNA from 1 species
GAUGAACGCUGGCGGCGUGCCUAAUACAUGCAAGUCGAGCGAACAGACGAGGAGCUUGCUCCUCUGACGUUAGCGGCGGACGGGUGAGUAACACGUGGAUAACCUACCUAUAAGACUGGGAUAACUUCGGGAAACCGGAGCUAAUACCGGAUAAUAUAUUGAACCGCAUGGUUCAAUAGUGAAAGACGGUUUUGCUGUCACUUAUAGAUGGAUCCGCGCCGCAUUAGCUAGUUGGUAAGGUAACGGCUUACCAAGGCAACGAUGCGUAGCCGACCUGAGAGGGUCAUCGGCCACACUGGAACUGAGACACGGUCCAGACUCCUACGGGAGGCAGCAGUAGGGAAUCUUCCGCAAUGGGCGAAAGCCUGACGGAGCAACGCCGCGUGAGUGAUGAAGGUCUUCGGAUCGUAAAACUCUGUUAUUAGGGAAGAACAAAUGUGUAAGUAACUAUGCACGUCUUGACGGUACCUAAUCAGAAAGCCACGGCUAACUACGUG